rnacentral:hammerhead_ribozyme from 1 species
AUCCAGAUGACGAGUCCGGAAUAGGACGAAAUUCGCGUUCUGUAU